UACGAAGGUCCCAAGCGUUGUUCGGAAUCACUGGGCGUAAAGCGCGCGUAGGCGGUCUGUUAAGUGGGAUGUGAAAUCCCCGGGCUUAACCUGGGAAUUGCAUUUCAAACUGGCCGACUAGAGUACGGUAGAGGGAGGUAGAAUUUCCUGUGUAGCGGUGAAAUGCGUAGAUAUAGGAAGGAAUACCAGUGGCGAAGGCGGCCUCCUGGAUCGAUACUGACGCUGAGGCGCGAAAGCGUGGGGAGCAAACAGG
rnacentral:rRNA from 1 species